rnacentral:rRNA from 1 species
CUCAGAUUGAACGCUAGCGGGAUGCCUUACACAUGCAAGUCGAACGGCAGCACGGACUUCGGUCUGGUGGCGAGUGGCGAACGGGUGAGUAAUGUAUCGGAACGUGCCUAGUAGCGGGGGAUAACUACGCGAAAGCGUAGCUAAUACCGCAUACGCCCUACGGGGGAAAGCAGGGGAUCGUAAGACCUUGCACUAUUAGAGCGGCCGAUAUCGGAUUAGCUAGUUGGUGGGGUAAUGGCUCACCAAGGCGACGAUCCGUAGCUGGUUUGAGAGGACGACCAGCCACACUGGGACUGAGACACGGCCCAGACUCCUACGGGAGGCAGCAGUGGGGAAUUUUGGACAAUGGGGGAAACCCUGAUCCAGCCAUCCCGCGUGUGCGAUGAAGGCCUUCGGGUUGUAAAGCACUUUUGGCAGGAAAGAAACGCCGCGGGUUAAUACCCUGCGGAACUGACGGUACCUGCAGAAUAAGCACCGGCUAACUACGUGCCAGCAGCCGCGGUAAUACGUAGGGUGCAAGCGUUAAUCGGAAUUACUGGGCGUAAAGCGUGCGCAGGCGGUUCGGAAAGAAAGAUGUGAAAUCCCAGAGCUUAACUUUGGAACUGCAUUUUUAACUACCGAGCUAGAGUGUGUCAGAGGGAGGUGGAAUUCCGCGUGUAGCAGUGAAAUGCGUAGAUAUGCGGAGGAACACCGAUGGCGAAGGCAGCCUCCUGGAUAAC